CUUUACAAGUGAGGACAGUAUUCCAUUAAAAGGUAGGAAAGCUAGGAAAUCCUUUACAAGUGAGGACAAUUCUCCAUUAAAAGCUAGGAAAUCCUUUACAAGUGAGGAUAGUUCUCCAUUAAAAGCUAGGAAAUAUCUUACAACUGAAGAUAGUUCUCCAUUAAAAGCUAGGAAAUCCUUUACAACUGAGGACAGCUCUCCAUUAAUUGCUAGGAAAUCCUUUACAAGCAAGGACAGUUCUCCAUUAAAAGCAAUACAAGGAAAAAGAAGUGUGGACAAUUCUUCAUUAAAAGCUAGGAAAUCCUUUACAAAUGAAGAUAUAGUUUUCCAUUAAAAGCUAGGAAAUCCCUUACAAGUGAAGAUAGUUCUCCAUUAAAAGCUAGGAAAUCCCUUACAAGUGAAGAUAGUUCUCCAUUAAAAGCUAGGAAAUCCCUUACAAGUGAAGAUAGUUCUCCAUUAAAAGCAAUAAAAGAUGCAAUUACAGGACUUAUUAAUCAUUCAUCGACAAAAGAUAAAAAAUCAGAAAUAGGCAGAAAAAGAUCAGGAAAUAAGAAAAUAGAUGCAGCAGAAUCCAAGAAGUGUACAGUAAGACUGACUGAUAUUGGUACUAUUAAAAACUUGAAAACAUAUGUAAACAAGACAGAGAAAAAAAGAAAAAGAAGGAAGAUAUGUGUAAAGAACUUGUAAAAAAAAAUGUUAAAUGUUAAAGGGGCACUAGCUGUCAAAUGCAUGUUCACCGA